GAUGAACGCUGGCGGCGUGCCUAAUACAUGCAAGUCGAGCGAACAGACGAGGAGCUUGCUCCUCUGACGUUAGCGGCGGACGGGUGAGUAACGCGUGGAUAACCUACCUAUAAGACUGGGAUAACUUCGGGAAACCGGAGCUAAUACCGGAUAAUAUAUUGAACCGCAUGGUUCAAUAGUGAAAGACGGUUUUGCUGUCACUUAUAGAUGGAUCCGCGCCGCAUUAGCUAGUUGGUAAGGUAACGGCUUACCAAGGCAACGAUGCGUAGCCGACCUGAGAGGGUGAUCGGCCGCACUGGAACUGAGACACGGUCCAGACUCCUACGGGAGGCAGCAGUAGGGAAUCUUCCGCAAUGGGCGAAAGCCUGACGGAGCAACGCCGCGUGAGUGAUGAAGGUCUUCGGAUCGUAAAACUCUGUUAUUAGGGAAGAACAAAUGUGUAAGUAACUAUGCACGUCUUGACGGUACCUAAUCAGAAAGCCACGGCUAACUACGUG
rnacentral:rRNA from 1 species